rnacentral:rRNA from 1 species
CCUACGGGAGGCAGCAGUGGGGAAUUUUGCGCAAUGGGCGAAAGCCUGACGCAGCGACGCCGCGUGGGGGAAGAAGGCCUUCGGGUUGUAAACUCCUUUAGUACGGGAAGAAGUCCCGAGCAAUCGGGAUGACGGUACCGUAAGAAUAAGCCACGGCUAACUCUGUGCCAGCAGCCGCGGUAAU